CGCUCCUCAGGAGGCCGGACUACAGUUCCCAUGCGCCCUCACGGAAGAGGACUACAGUUCCCAUGAGCGCCCGCGGCCCCCUUUCUCUCCUUCCCCGCGGUUUCUGGGACAGCAUGGCGGCGGAGCUGCGUGUGAGCAUGACACCGUGUCCAGAAGGGGUAAGAACACUCCCUUGGCUGGGGAGCUGAUGUACCCACAGUGCACCUGCACAAUGGAGGAAAUGAUCCUGCAGAAUCCUGGGGCUGCUGUUGCCCAAAGACAACUUUGGCCAGAAGGCAGCUGCUGUGUUGGGCUUCAGGCUGAAGGUCAAUAGCAGCUUCUGACAGGCCGCCCAGCAGAGCUGGUGACAGGGAAUGUCGUCAGGAGUCAAGAUCUGGAAGGAAGAUUGUUCUGGACUGAGUGUCGCAAAUGACUGCUGAUAUGUCAUGUGAAAUGGCCACAGGCUCCUGAUUGCUCAGUGGUUGCUGCAACCACACCAUGGGACCUGAUCUACAGAUAGCUGGAGGAAAAAGUGGUUCCCUGCUUUCUUCUGUCCCAGAAUAAAAUAAGUUUUUGAAAAUA